rnacentral:rRNA from 1 species
UUUGUUGAUUACAGCGUCGGGAUUCCAUUCUUCCCAUCCCGAACAGAGAAGUUAAGCCGGGUCGCGCCGAUGGUACUGCAUACAGUGGGAGAGUAGGUCGCCACCAUUU